UUGGAAGCAGCCAUUCAUUUAAAGAGUGCGUAACAGCUCACUAGUCGAGGAGUUUGGCGUGGAUAAUAAUCGGGCAUUAAGUAUUCUACCGAAGCUUUGGGAUGUGUAAACAUCGGUAGGGGAGCAUUCCACUCCGCGUCGAAGGUGAAGCGUGAGCUUUGCUGGAGCGUGUGGAAAAGCAAAUGUAGGUAUAAGUAACGAUAAAGGGGGUGAGAAACCCCCUCGCCGAAAGACUAAGGUUUCCUGAUCAACGCUAAUCGGAUCAGGGUUAGUCGGGUCCUAAGGCUCAGCCGAACGGUGAGGCCGAUGGCAGAACAGGUUAAUAUUCCUGUACUACCUUAAGGAGUGACGUGGAGACGGAGUCGUGACAACGCCGCGGACUGACGGAAUAGUCCGUUGAAGGGUGUAGAUGUUGAUUGUGGCAGGCAAAUCCACCACGAGAGUCGAACCUGAUAGUAUACCAAUUCCUUCGGGAAACGGUAAUAGUGCGUGUAAACAUACUCCCGAGAAAAUCCGCUAAACUUAAUCCUUGAGGUACCCGUACCGCAAACGGACACACGUAGUCGGGUUGAAUAUACUAAGGCGCUUGAGUGAUUCACGGUUAAGGAACUAGGCAAAUUGACCCUGUAACUUCGGGAUAAAGGGUCCCAACGAGAGUUGGGCGCAGAGAAUAGGUCCAGGCAACUGUUUAACAAAAACACAGGGCUGUGCCAAAUUGAAAGAUCACGUAUACAGCCUGACACCUGCCCGGUGCUGGAAGGUUAAGAGGAGAUGUCAUCGCAAGAGAAGCAUUGAAUUGAAGCCCCAGUAAACGGCGGCCGUAACUAUAACGGUCCUAAGGUAGCGAAAUUCCUUGUCGGGUAAGUUCCGACCUGCACGAAUGGUGUAAUGAUCUGGACGCUGUCUCAACCGUGAGCUCAGUGAAAUUGUAGUAUCGGUGAAGAUGCCGAUUACCCGCGAUGGGACGAAAAGACCCCGUGAACCUUUACUAUAGCUUAACAUUGAAUUUGGGUAAUUGAUGUGUAGGAUAGGCCGGAGACUUUGAAGCGCAGACGCCAGUUUGUGUGGAGUCGCUGUUGAAAUACGGCCCUUUGAUUAUUUGAGUUCUAACCCGUUGUAACGGGGACACUGUUUGGUGGGUAGUUUGACUGGGGUGGUCGCCUCCAAAAGUGUAACGGAGGCUUCUAAAGGUGCCCUCAGGACGAUUGGUAACCGUCCGUAGAGUGUAAUGGCAUAAGGGCGCUUGACUGGGAGACAUACAAGUCGAUCAGGUAGGAAACUAGAGCAUAGUGAUCCGGUGUUUCCGCAUGGAAGGGACAUCGCUCAAAGGAUAAAAGGUACUCCGGGGAUAACAGGCUGAUCCCUCCCA
rnacentral:rRNA from 1 species